rnacentral:tRNA from 1 species
UUAAUUGAAACCAAAUAGAGGUAUAUUACUGUUAAUGAUAUCAUUGAAUUUACAAUUCCAAUUAAA